AAAUUGAAGAGUUUGAUCAUGGCUCAGAUUGAACGCUGGCGGCAGGCCUAACACAUGCAAGUCGAGCGGAAACGACAACAUUGAAUCUUCGGAGGAUUUGUUGGGCGUCGAGCGGCGGACGGGUGAGUAAUGCCUAGGAAAUUGCCUUGAUGUGGGGGAUAACCAUUGGAAACGAUGGCUAAUACCGCAUAAUGCCUACGGGCCAAAGAGGGGGAUCUUCGGACCUCUCGCGUCAAGAUAUGCCUAGGUGGGAUUAGCUAGUUGGUGAGGUAAUGGCUCACCAAGGCA
rnacentral:rRNA from 1 species